AUAUUGGCAAUAUCCCACAUUAGGAAAAGAUAGAAAUGGAGGGGGUUUGGUUUGUUAUAUAUAGAACCCCUCCCCCUUUGGUUGUAUUAUCCCAAAAUCUUCUCCUUUGUAAUAUUUCUAGAAGAAAUAUUGAUUUGGUAGUGUCCGAGGACGUAAGCUAAAUUGGCCGAACCUCGUUAAAUCUCUGGUAUUUUAUUUCUUAUUUGUUUGCUUAUAUUUAAUAGCUUUAUGUUGGUUAUAUUUAUUUAGUUAUUAUUGCUAUAAAUAUCUAAGUGAGUUCUGUCUAGUUGUUGGGUUUUAAGCGGGACCAUUUGUGACCCCUCCAAUUUAACUGGGAAUUUUCUUAGUAUAAUUAUUGGCAUAAUAAUUAUCUAAAUAUUUCUGAUAAUAUUGUUAUUAAUAUUAUCGUCGCUUCCGCAACAAUUGGUAUCAGAGCCAAGGUUUUGUAGUAUGCUCUGUGUUUGCAGCUUAGUCUGAUCUUACACAUCAGAAACAUUUCCGAAAGCUUGUGGGUAUUCCGCAUUUGGUGGCUAUUAAAUAGAAGCUAUGGCAAAAAUGACAGAAGAAAAACCAUCCAUAUCAACAACUUCCACUUCGUACAUUUUGCCGAGGAUUGGAACUGCAAAUACGAGAUUUGUAGUGGAAAUUUUUGAUGGAACAGGUCAUUUCGGCAUGUGGCAAAGUGAGCUUCUAGAUGCCCUCUUUCAACAGGGUCUAGAUAUUGCCAUUGAGGAAGAAAAACCAGAAGGGGUUGAUGAUAAAGAAUGGAAGACCAUCAACCGAUUGGCAUGUGGUACAAUUCGAUCAUGUCUUUCCAGAGAGCAAAAGUAUACAUUCAGUAAAGAGACUUCUGCAAGUAAAUUGUGGAAAGCAUUGGAGGAGAAAUUCUUGAAGAAGAACAGUCAAAAUAAGUUGCAUAUGAAGAAAAGACUGUUUCGUUUCAAUUAUGUUCCUGGUACCACGAUGAACGAGCACAUUACCAAUUUUAAUCAGCUGGUGGCUGAUUUGUUGAAUUUGGAUGUGACUUUUGAAGACGAAGACUUGGCGUUAAUGUUGUUGGGAUCGCUUCCUGAGGAGUUUGAGUACCUUGAAACUACUCUACUUCAUGGAAAAUCGGAAGUAACUUUCAAUGAAGUAACUGCUGCAUUGUAUAGCUAUGAACUACGCCGAAAGGAUAAGUUGAAAGGUUCAGGUGAAGCAGCAGUGGAAGCAUUGGUAACAAGAGGUCGUCAGCAAAGUCAGUCUAAGGGGAAGAGAAGAAAGUCCAAAGGUCGAGCUGUUGCCAAAGAUGAAUGUUCUUUUUGCAAAGAAAAAGGACAUUGGAAGAAAGAUUGUCCAAAAUUGAAGAAAAAAGGGAAGACUCCGCAAGAUGCAAAUGUUGCAGAAUGCAAUAGUGAAGCAGAGUCAGACUUUUGUCUUAGUAUGACAUCUUCAACAUUAUAUGCAGAUGAGUGGAUCAUGGAUUCUGGUUGUUCCUAUCAUAUGUGUCCCAUUCGGGAAUGGUUCUUUGAAUUUCAAAAACUAGAUGAAGGGGUUGUUUACAUGGGUAAUGAUAACACAUGUAAAAUAGCCGGGAUAGGUUCAAUUAAACUGAGGAGUCAUGAUGGAUCUACUAGAAUUUUGCGGGAUGUACGAUAUGUCCCAAAGUUGAAGAAGAAUCUCAUCUCUUUGGGGUCGUUAGAAUCUAAAGGCCUAGUUGUGACAAUACGAGAUGGAGUUCUUAAAGCAACUUCAGGAGCAUUGGUGAUGUUGAAAGGCAUAAGAAAGAACAAUCUGUAUUACUACCAAGGUAGUACAGUGGUCGGGACAACAGCAGCAGCAAUUACGAGUACCAAGAAGGACGCUGAGGCAACACAGCUGUGGCAUAUGCGUUUGGGCCAUGCUGGUGAAAAAUCCUUGCAAACUCUAGCCAAGCAAGGAUUAUUGAAAGGUACAAAGACUUGCAAACUUGAAUUUUGCGAGCAUUGUGUUCUGGGAAAACAACGAAGGGUGAAAUUUGGCACUGGGAUUCACAAUACUAAAGGUAUUCUGGAUUAUGUGCAUUCUGAUGUAUGGGGACCGUCCAAGACUCCAUCACUUGGAGGAAGACGUUAUUUUGUCACCUUUAUUGAUGAUUUUUCCAGACGAGUUUGGGUGUUCCCUAUGAAGAACAAAGAUGAGGUGCUUGAAGUUUUCCUUAAGUGGAAAACUAAAGUUGAAAAUCAGACAGGAAGGAAGAUUAAGGUUCUCCGAUCAGACAACGGUGGAGAAUAUAAAAGCGAUCCUUUCCUGAAGAUAUGCCAAGAUUGUGGCAUAGUAAGGCACUUCACCGUAGGUGGAACACCGCAACAGAAUGGGGUGGCAGAGCGUAUGAAUCGAACGCUUGUGGAGAAAGUUCGAUGUAUGUUAUCUAAUGCUGGAUUAGAUAGAAAGUUUUGGACUGAGGCUGUGACGUACGCUCAACAUCUCAUCAAUCAUUUGCCAUCAUCUGCUAUAAAUGGCAAGACUCCUUUGGAGAAAUGGUAUGGAAAACCUGCUACUGAUUAUGACACCUUGCGCAUUUUUGGUUCUAUUGCAUAUUAUCAUGUGAAAGAAUCAAAGUUAGAUCCAAGAGCAAAGAAGGCUCUAUUCAUGGGCUUCAAUGCUGGUGUUAAGGGAUAUCGUUUGUGGUGUCUAGAGGCAAAGAAGACGAUAAUCAGUAGGGAUGUUACCUUUCAUGAAUCUGCCAUGUUGAAUAAGGUAAAUCCAGAAGGAGUGAGUAGUACUUCGCAGCAGGUGGAGUGUACUCCGCAGCAGGUGGAGUUUGAGCAGAGUGUGGUAAUUCCAGCAAAAGGUACCACUAGUGAUUCUUCAUUGGCAGAUGCAGAGUCAGAUGAGGAAGAGGUUUCUACCCAAGAACCUCAACAGCAAUCAGAGCCAAUUGCAGUCAGAAGGCAGAGACGAGAAAUUCAGAAACCUGCUCGUUUCACUGACACGGUAGCUUAUGCACUUCCAGUUGUUGAUAAUAUUCCAUCCACUUACACCGAAGCCAUUCAGAGUUUAGAGAAUAAUAGAUGGUUAGGUGCAAUGGAAGAGGAAAUGCAAUCUCUAGAGAAAAACAAGAUGUGGAAGCUGGCACAACUACCAAAAGGGAAGAAGGCGAUUGGUUGCAAAAUUGAAGACACUAUUGAAGUUUGUGUUAUGAGAAGAUGUUCGAAGAUGUGGAAUAUCGCCAAGGUGGAGAUUUGUUGAAUAUUGGCAAUAUCCCACAUUAGGAAAAGAUAGAAAUGGAGGGGGUUUGGUUUGUUAUAUAUAGAACCCCUCCCCCUUUGGUUGUAUUAUCCCAAAAUCUUCUCCUUUGUAAUAUUUCUAGAAGAAAUAUUGAUUUGGUAGUGUCCGAGGACGUAAGCUAAAUUGGCCGAACCUCGUUAAAUCUCUGGUAUUUUAUUUCUUAUUUGUUUGCUUAUAUUUAAUAGCUUUAUGUUGGUUAUAUUUAUUUAGUUAUUAUUGCUAUAAAUAUCUAAGUGAGUUCUGUCUAGUUGUUGGGUUUUAAGCGGGACCAUUUGUGACCCCUCCAAUUUAACUGGGAAUUUUCUUAGUAUAAUUAUUGGCAUAAUAAUUAUCUAAAUAUUUCUGAUAAUAUUGUUAUUAAUAUUAUCGUCGCUUCCGCAACACU
rnacentral:lncRNA from 1 species